rnacentral:tRNA from 1 species
GGGACAUAGCUCAGUAGUAGAGCAUUUGCCUGGAAUGUGCAAGGCCCUGGGUUCAAUACCUAGUACCUG